rnacentral:rRNA from 1 species
AUUGAACGCUGGCGGCAUGCCUUACACAUGCAAGUCGAACGGCAGCACGGGAGCAAUCCUGGUGGCGAGUGGCGAACGGGUGAGUAAUAUAUCGGAACGUGCCCAGUAGUGGGGGAUAGCCCGGCGAAAGCCGGAUUAAUACCGCAUACGACCUACGGGUGAAAGCGGGGGAUCGCAAGACCUCGCGUUAUUGGAGCGGCCGAUAUCAGAUUAGCUAGUUGGUGGGGUAAAGGCCUACCAAGGCGACGAUCUGUAGCUGGUCUGAGAGGACGACCAGCCACACUGGGGACUGAGACACGGGCCCCAGACUCCUACGGGAGGCAGCAGUGGGGAAUUUUUGGGACAAUGGGCGCAAGCCUGAUCCAGCCAUGCCGCGUGUGGGAAGAAGGCCUUCGGGUUGUAAACCACUUUUGUCAGGGAAGAAACGGUUUGGCUUAAUACGCUGGACUAAUGACGGUAUCUGAAGAAUAAAGCACCGGGCUAACUAACGUGCCAGCA